rnacentral:rRNA from 1 species
AUGGAUAUCAAAGAAAAGGAGCUCGACCAGGUGAAGUUCUUGUUUGUUGGGUUGCUAACAAAUUGCAGCUGUGUGCUGCACUGCUGGUACCAUUCAUAUCCUAGAAGUUGUAGCUUCCAGCCUUUUAGUAACUACACAAAACUGCCAAAGCUUCACAGCCAUCAUGGAAUCACCACCGGUCCUCCCUUGCUCAAGUCAUGGAGGGGCAGCCGGUACCGGUGGGUGAGGAGAUCCAUGACUGGACAACAUCAUGUUCUGUUUAAACCUAUGCCUCCCCAGGGAAUCACCACCGGUCCUCCUUUUCUCAAGUCAUGGAUGGGCAGCCGGUACCGGUGGGUGAGGAGAUCCAUGACUGGACAGCGCAGACGCCCAGAUGGCGAGGAAGACGAGUCAUCGUCGCUGCCAACCUCCGCCUCGGCCCCCACACCCCUGACGCGAGCUUUGCCUCCUCUGCCGCUGUUGCAUCUUCUCCAGUGCCUCCUCCCCAUCGGACUCGUCUGCCUCCCUGUCAUGCAGAUUAGAGAGAUUCUUUUUAAACUCAACCUGUGUCAUAAGCUACUUGGUUCCUUCUCAUUACUUGGAGGAUGCAUGGAUUGGAGAGAUUAUGGAUGA